rnacentral:rRNA from 1 species
AUGGAGAAAUGCCUUUUUGGCGUUGACAAGCUCGUUUUCAUGGGUUUUGUUGUAUCUUCUAAGGGUGUUCAUGUUUAUGAGUCCAAGAUCAAUGCUAUAAAGACUUGGCCAACACCAACCAACUUUCUUCAAGUGCGUAGUUUUCUUGGCCUUGCGGGUUUCUAUCAUCGCUUUGUGAAAGAUUUUAGCACCAUUGCUUCGCCUUUGUAUGCUUUGAGCAAGAAGAAUGUGCCUUUUGUUUGGGGACCAUCCCAAGAUACCGCUUUCAAUGAGCUUAAGAAUUUGCUUACUCAUGCUCCCGUG